GAGGAUGCGAGCGUUAUCCGGAUUUAUUGGGUUUAAAGGGAGCGUAGACGGAUGUUAAGUCAGUUGUGAAAGGCUGCGGCUCAACCGCAGCACUGCAGUUGAUACUGGCGUCCUUGAGUGCGGUUGAGGUGUGUGGAAUUCGUGGUGUAGCGGUGAAAUGCUUAGAUAUCACGAAGAACUCCGAUUGCGAAGGCAGCACACUAAGCCGCUACUGACGUUGAGGCUCGAAAGUGUGGGUAUCAAACAGGAUUAGAUACCCUGGUAGUCCACACGGUAAACGAUGAAUACUCGCUGUUGGCGAUAUACAGUCAGCGGCCAAGCGAAAGCAUUGAGUAUUCCACCUGGGGAGUACGCCGGCAACGGUGAAACUCAAAGGAAUUGACGGGGGCCCGCACAAGCGGAGGAACAUGUGGUUUAAUUCGAUGAUACGCGAGGAACCUUACCCGGGCUUAAAUAGCACUGGACAGGCUCAGAGAUGGGCUCUUCUGCUGACCAGUGUGAAGGUGCUGCAUGGUUGUCGUCAGCUCGUGCCGUGAGGUGUCGCCUUAGGUGGCGUCACCAGCGCAACUCUUGCCAAUACUUACCAGCAGGUCAUGCUGGGGACUCUAUUGAGACUGCCAUCGUGAGAGGUGAGGGAUGGUGGGCAUGACGUCAGAGCAUCUCCGUCCCUUACGUCGGGACUACACAGUGUUACAAUUCGGAUGACAGACCCCUGUUACAGGGCGAGAGAUCCCAAUCCCCUUAGCGUGUCUUAUUUCGAAUUGGAAUCUUGAACCCGAAUCGUGAAUCUCGAUUCUACAAGUAUAUCACCACAGCCGGGAUCAAUUAAUGCGGUGCCCUGUCAUCACCGAGCGGUCGGUGAA
rnacentral:rRNA from 1 species